rnacentral:rRNA from 1 species
UACAGAGGGUGCUAGCGUUGUUCGGAAUUAUUGGGCGUAAAGGGCGCGUAGGCGGUGCGGUAAGUCACCUGUGAAAUCUCCUGGCUCAACUGGGAGCUUGCAGGCGGAACUGCCGUGCUGGAGUGUGGGAGAGGUGCGUGGAAUUCCUGGUGUAGCGGUGAAAUGCGUAGAUAUCAGGAGGAACACCUGUGGCGAAAGCGGCGCACUGGACCACAACUGACGCUGAGGCGCGAAAGCUAGGGGAGCAAACAGG